rnacentral:rRNA from 1 species
UGGCGGCGUGCCUAAUACAUGCAAGUCGAACGCGCGGAUCAGGAGCUUGCUCCUGUGACGCGAGUGGCGGACGGGUGAGUAACACGUAGGCAACCUGCCCAUCAGACCGGGAUAACCACGGGAAACCGUGGCUAAUACCGGAUAAUCCUUUUCCACACAGGUGGGAAAGUUGAAAGGCGGUCUUUUGGCUGUCACUGAUGGAUGGGCCUGCGGCGCAUUAGCUGGUUGGUGGGGUAACGGCCCACCAAGGCGACGAUGCGUAGCCGACCUGAGAGGGUGAUCGGCCACACUGGGACUGAGACACGGCCCAGACUCCUACGGGAGGCAGCAGUAGGGAAUCUUCCGCAAUGGACGAAAGUCUGACGGAGCAACGCCGCGUGAGUGAAGAAGGGUUUCGGCUCGUAAAACUCUGUUGUCAGGGAAGAACGCCGACGGGAGUAACUGCCCGUCGGGUGACGGUACCUGACCAGAAAGCCACGGCUAACUACGUGCCAGCAGCCGGUUUAAUAC